AACGCGCUCCUUUUGAACCUGCUGGAGGGAGGGGUAGGUUGGAGGUUGCAGCCCUUUCUGUGAGUCUGUCGGGCGCUGCAGGAGAGGGAAAUUGGGUUAGCGGAGACCUCCGCCUGAGGUUAGGCUGGGAGCGGCCACAGCUCCUUUCUUUAGGCAGCUACCCGGGGCCGGCCGCUCGCCGCGAGCCACUAUGCCGAAGCCCCUCCUUGCCUCCUCAGAGCCCACCCAAGGCUGCUGCAGCUCCCUGGAAACGUGACUAAAGUUUCCUUUCUUUGGCCUAGACUUUUAAGGAGCGUUUGUUACUGCGGAGGUGGUUUGCCCCUACGCUAACGAAACGUCACCUUCUAGACCAUCCCCCCUCGCCCAGGCCCCAUCAAUGGCCAUGGAAGGGGUCUUAGCAACGUGUUCACAUAAUCACGUUUUUGUAAAACUAGUAAAACUAAAGCUAUUUUAAGCCACCUCUGUUAAGAGAGCUACCUCUUUCUACUGCGAUCUUCCUAUCUGGGAGAAUUGAAGUAGUUUGGGCAUUUGGGGGCAUUUUUAAUUAGGGUCUUCCCGUGAGUAGGGCUUGAGUGUGUCUACAUGAGUUCUAGGUUAUACAGAGUCCUGAUGAGAGGCCUAGUAAAGAUAAAAGGGGAAAAGUUGUGUUUCUGAAGUGCCUCCAAUUCUCAGAUGAUGGCAGUCUCCUCUGUGUCCUCCCAUCCACCCCUCCCAGCGAUGAAAGAAGGCCAGCAGCUGGUAAGAGAGAACCACAAGAACUGCAGCCAUGGGUCCUCCCUCUGUCGGGGCACUGUUUUAGGCAUGAGGGCAUAGAGAACCAAAGAACCUCAAGGAGAAGAGUGAAGUUCAGAACCUACAAAGAAAUAAAUAUUCAGAAACAUCUGUAGUUUUGACCCUCUGCUCAAUACCACCAGAGAAAAAGAGAAGUACUAUUACAUUUAUCACUGGUACUGUGAAACUGUGCCCUUGCCUAAUUUCAUUUCUGCAAGCCUUUACUGUGAACCAUGAAUGCGCUGGGCGCUAUGUGUGGAGGCACUGGCCCAAAGAUGAAGAUGCGCUUUCUCUCCUUGAGAAGCGCAGUGUGGGAGACAGACAGGACACCAGGAAACCUCUUCAGUUUCCUGGUGGGAGCCCAGGCAUUCUCCCAGCGAGGAACCUUUGGUCCAGGAAGAGAUGUGGCCCUGGGAAAGAAACACUCAGACCACGGGGACAGGGGUGCAAGGGGCUUGCCUUGGUGUGCAGCUCUGAGU